rnacentral:rRNA from 1 species
GACGAACCGAGCGAACGUUGUUCGGAAUCACUGGGCUUAAAGGGCGCGUAGGCGGGUGCUCAAGUCCGUGGUGAAAUCCUCCGGCUCAACCGGAGAACUGCCAUGGAUACUGGGUGUCUCGAGGGUGAUAGGGGUAUGCGGAACUAUCGGUGGAGCGGUGAAAUGCGUUGAUAUCGAUAGGAACUCCGGUGGCGAAGGCGGCAUACUGGAUCACAUCUGACGCUGAGGCGCGAAAGCGUGGGGAGCAAACAGG